CUCACUGACCCUCUUGAUCCACCGAUUUCACCAUUUCAUAUCUAUGUUUUCUAGAGCCCGAUCACUGUAAACUUAGUCUCCAGAUUUUCGUCUCAGUGAUGCCAACGUUUCUGUACAAUGAUUACGUUUGAGUCAAUCAGCUUCUAUGGAGAAUGGAUGCAUGCAAGUUCAUCUUCAAAAAGGGAGAUUCUGACCUCUUCCCGAAAUGCUGCUGUCAGCCAACUUCGAUGGCCAGAAACUGCAAGUUUGAGCCUUUGUAUCAGUACGACUUCUUCAUGAAAGUUGUUCUAAAUUGUGUCUUCUAUACCUUGUUCCAAAAUCAUGAUAAUCCAACGGUUAAUUCGUUCUCAAUCAAGUUUCUACUCAGAUUGGGUCAUGUUUCUCCAUCGACAUUUGAGUUAAUUUCAUGAAGUUUACAUCUCCAUCUUGAGUUCACACAAUUGAUUUUACAAUUGGAUGACGAAGCAUGGAAUUUGGUUGCACAAGCCAAAGGCAGAGGUAUUGCUUGACCUGGAAUAACAUUCGAAGCACUUUGAUUCGAGGUAGGGAGGCUUCACCCUAGUUAGUGCUCUUAUGUUUCCUACAUUGUUGUUAUGGUUUGAAGUUGUUUUUAAGACUUAACACUUGAGUUCAUGAGGAUGACUUGAGAGUGAGCGGGGCAUAGCGACUUCCUUGGGUUUCGAUCCCCUAAACCUCCGGAGGGGCUGUACGGACGGGAUAGUGUCUGACAUCCUUUGAGGUGUGACACUAGAUCUAGGCGGUACUGCAUAAAUGGACACUCUCGCUACUCUUCACCAAUGGUUGAAGAUUUAUAUAUUCGGUGAGGAUGUAGUUGGCUAGUAUUAGACCGGUCAUCAGGUUUGAUUUUACCCGGGUACUCAUUCGUUUUCAUAUGGUUUCACAUUGGGAGUUCUUUAUUUAAUUUUAUUAUAUUUUACUCAACUGGCGCCAAUUACUAUUUGGUUUUAAAACCUAGCUAGGGUUGAUGUUUGAGCAGCGAGGACGAAAGCUCACCCCUACUAUAGGUGGUCUUGCAGGUACUGUGCACGAGGAUUUAGGAGGAUUGCGGGAUUGAGCUGGGUGCUACAUUUUAUUUUACCUGACUCUUCGGUAUAUUUACCUUCACAUUUUAUUCACCUCUACUAAAUUGCCAUUGUUUGAUUGAGGUGAAUGUUAACUUUAUGGUUUGAACCAAACUAGAAUUUAUUUUCAAUGUUGUCCUUUCAGUUUUGUAUCAAUCGAGU